ACAGUCACACAUUAGAUACCCCUGUAGUCCUAGCCGUAAGCGAUACUCGCUAGGUGUCGGCCACGGUGCGACCGUUGUCGGUGCCGUAGGGAAGCCGUGAAGCGAGCCACCUGGGAAGUACGGCCGCAAGGCUGAAACUUAAAGGAAUUGGCGGGGGAGCACAACAACGGGUGGAGCUUGCGGUUUAAUUGGAUUCAACGCCGGAAAUCUUACCGGGACCGACAGCAACAUGAAGGCCAAGCUGAAGACUUUGCCGGAUUAGCUG
rnacentral:rRNA from 1 species